GUUCCUUCGAGGACAUCCGAUAAAAUUAAAACGAUACAAAAGGAUUAGCAUAUGACUUUGCGCAAGGAUGAUCCGCAUGAUUCAAGGUAUGGUUGAAUUUUUU